rnacentral:misc_RNA from 1 species
AAGACUAUAGACCUGCGGAGUACCUGCGGAAGGAUCAUUACAAAGGUUGAUUAAAUGCCGUGUUCCCGGGGCGCCUCUCUUUCUCUCUCGAGGGGAGUGUUUCGGGGGCGCGGCAUGCACCAACAACCACGAUCAUCCACCGUGUGCACUCAUUGAACCAUGGGAGGUUUAUUUUUUUGACCUCUCAUGGUUCCAAACCUUUCUAAAGUCUUACCGUUAGUCUGAACAUUAUCAUUUUUA